rnacentral:rRNA from 1 species
UGGGGAAUAUUGCACAAUGGGCGAAAGCCUGAUCCAGCAAUGCCGCGUGUGUGAAGAAGGCCUUCGGGUUGUAAAGCACUUUUGUCCGGAAAGAAAUCCUUGGCUCUAAUACAGUCGGGGGGAUGACGGUACCGGAAGAAUAAGCACCGGCUAACUACGUGCCAGCAGCCGCGGUAAUACGUAGGGUGCAAGCGUUAAUCGGAAUUACUGGGCGUAAAGCGUGCGCAGGCGGUUUGCUAAGACCGAUGUGAAAUCCCCGGGCUCAACCUGGGAACUGCAUUGGUGACUGGCAGGCUAGAGUAUGGCAGAGGGGGGUAGAAUUCCACGUGUAGCAGUGAAAUGCGUAGAGAUGUGGAGGAAUACCGAUGGCGAAGGCAGCCCCCUGGGCCAAUACUGACGCUCAUGCACGAAAGCGUGGGGAGCAAACAGGAUUAGAUACCCUGGUAGUCCACGCCCUAAACGAUGUCAACUAGUUGUUGGGGAUUCAUUUCCUUAGUAACGUAGCUAACGCGUGAAGUUGACCGCCUGGGGAGUACGGUCGCAAGAUUAAAACUCAAAUGAAUUGACGGGGUCAUAGCUGUUUCC